rnacentral:pre_miRNA from 1 species
AUCUGGCCUGGUUGCACUCUCUGAGGAUAUAAAAAUCAGAAAUUGCUACCAGGUUGGAUGU